rnacentral:rRNA from 1 species
UAGUCCACGCCGUAAACGAUGGAUACUAGCUGUUCGAGAGCAAUCUUGAGUGGCCAAGCGAAAGUGAUAAGUAUCCCACCUGGGGAGUACGUUCGCAAGAAUGAAACUCAAAGGAAUUGACGGGGGCCCGCACAAGCGGUGGAGCAUGUGGUUUAAUUCGAUGAUACGCGAGGAACCUUACCAGGGCUUAAAUGUAGUCUGACAGGAGUGGAAACACUUUUUCUUCGGACAGAUUACAAGGUGCUGCAUGGUUGUCGUCAGCUCGUGCCGUGAGGUGUCAGGUUAAGUCCUAUAACGAGCGCAACCCCUGUUGUUAGUUGCCAUCGAGUAAUGUCGGGAACUCUAACAAGACUGCCAGUGCAAACUGUGAGGAAGGUGGGGAUGACGUCAAAUCAUCACGGCCCUUACGCUCUGGGCUACACACGUGCUACAAUGGUCGUGACAAAGAGUUGCUAGUCUGCGAAGGCAAGCCAAUCUCAUAAACGCGGCCUU